rnacentral:ncRNA from 1 species
GAACUGAAGAGUUUGAUCCUGGCUCAGAUUGAACGCUGGCGGCAUGCCUUACACAUGCAAGUCGAACGGUAACGCGGGGCA